rnacentral:tRNA from 1 species
UCCCCUGUGGCUUAGAGGGUUAAGGACUCUGCAUUAUCAUUGCUGUAGCUCAGGUUCGAUCCCUGACCUGGGAA